UUAUUUUGUUCAUCUUCGUACAAAUUAUUUACUGAAUAUGUGUAAUUUCUUCUAACUUCUUUUAAUUUCCAAUAUUUAAUGGCUGCAUUGUUUGUAUGUUUCAGAAAAAAAAGUCAGAACUCAGAAGUAGAAAAACAGAAGAAAAUGCCAGUGUAAUUUUUCUGUUUACCAAAAGCAGUUUUCCUAAAAUAUCUUCCUCAAAUAUCUGACAAGUAGCACCAAAAAAAAUUUCCUGCUUAAUUGCUUGUCAGUUUCCACGUAUUUAUCUUGAACCUAAACUGAUUUUUCUACAGAAAUAAUCCUGAGCUUAUCACAAGAAGCUGUUUGAAUUGAAACAUCAUACCUUUGGUUCCUGCUAAGCAUCUCUCUGACAUGCGAAGUAAUCAAGACCUUCUGGUGAAACCAGUUCCCUCAUCAGGGUUGAGCAUGAUUGAUGGUGAUGUGAGGCUGCUUUGCUCAUGGAAUUUCAAGGAGCUAUGGCAUGUUUAUGCUAAAAGGCUGAAAUGUGAGUUUGAUAAUAAGCCUUAUUCAAUUUGGAGCAACGUCGGAAUAGCAGAGAAACAAAAAUGGAAGGGAGUCUGAGUCUCUGAUACCUUCAAUCUGCUCUACAGUCAAUGGACUACCUACUCAAGCUGUUUUGGGGAGGAAGAAAUAAAUUACUCUUGGUGAGGAAAAGAAAAUCAACUAUAUUAUUGAAUCUCUGAAUACAGAAGUCUAACCUUGAAUCUUCAUCAAUAUAUCCGUCUAGCUGACUAAUACGUCAUCCUGUAUUUAUUGCCUAAGUCCCGAUGUUUUCGCCAAACUUUAUAAAAUGAUAGGACUACAUUACGUUCACUAACUUUUAGUCCUCAUAUAUGUAAUUUCAGAAUCAAGUGCAUUUUCAAGAUCCAUUGGUUUUUCCUCUUAAGUAUUUCUUAAAUUCCCCAUAAGGUUUCUCACAGUGCUAGUAAAGUAAUCAAGGCUGCUUGACAUCUGUUCUGGGACUUUGUUCAUCUCUCUUUAUGUUCUAUGGUAUACCCUAAGGAACUUCCAAGCAGCCUGUAUCCCACCUUCUAAAAUGUAAAUAUCUUGUAGUUUGGGUCCUUAAGUCUCAAUGGUAAUGCUGUUUUUCUUUGUUUUGAACUUUUAAUUUAUUUU